GACGAACGCUGGCGGCGUGCUUAACACAUGCAAGUCGACCGGUAAGGCCCUUCGGGGUACACGAGUGGCGAACGGGUGAGUAACACGUGGGUGAUCUGCCCUGCACUUCGGGAUAAGCCUGGGAAACUGGGUCUAAUACCGGAUAGGACCACUGCCUGGAUGGGUGGUGGUGGAAAGCUUUUGAGGUGUGGGAUGGGCCGGCGGCCUAUCAGCUUGUUGGUGGGGUGAUGGCCUAGCAAGGGGACGACGGGUAGCCGUGCUGAGAGGGUGACCAGCCACACUGGGACAGACUUACGGACCAGACGCCUACGGGAGGCAGCAGUGGAGAAUAUUGCAAGAUGGGCGCAAGCCUGAGGCAGCGACGCCGCGUGAGGGAUGACGGACUUCGGGUUGUAAACCUCUUUCAGCACCGACGAAGCGCAAGUGACGGUAGGUGCAGAAGAAGGACCGGCCAACUACGUGCCAGCAGCCGCGGUAA
rnacentral:rRNA from 1 species